rnacentral:rRNA from 1 species
UACGAGGGGGGCAAGCGUUGUUCGGAAUUAUUGGGCGUAAAGGGCGCGUAGGCGGUGCGGUAAGUCUGAUGUGAAAUCCUCCGGGCUCAACUCGGAGUCUGCAUCAGAAACUGCCGUGCUCGAGUGUGGGGAGAGGUGAGUGGAAUUCCCGGUGUAGCGGUGAAAUGCGUAGAUAUCAGGAGGAACACCAGUGGCGAAGGCGGCUUCUGGACGAUAACUGACGCUGAGACGCGAAAGCGUGGGGAGCAGACAG